GCUUGUCUCAAAGAUUAAGCCAUGCAUGUCUAAGUAUAAGCAAACUUGUACUGUGAAACUGCGAAUGGCUCAUUAUAUCAGUUAUAGUCUACUCGAUAGUACCUUACUACUUGGAUAACCGUAGUAAUUCUAGAGCUAAUACAUGCGUCAAGUCCUGACUGCGCGAGCGGAAAGGAUGUGUUUAUUAGAUACAACCAACCCUUCGGGUUCCUGGUGAGUCAUAAUAACCGAACGAACCGCAGGCUUCGGCGGCGGUGGUUCAUUCAAGUUUCUGCCCUAUCAGCUUUCGAUGGUAGGGUAUUGGCCUACCAUGGCGUUAACGGGUAACGGAGAAUUAGGGUUCGAUUCCGGAGAGGGAGCCUGAGAGAUGGCUACCACAUCCAAGGAAGGCAGCAGG
rnacentral:rRNA from 1 species